AGGGGCGGGGCCGGGGCUGCAGAGGCGCCGGCUCUUACGGAAGCCCGGGGAGCCAAACUACCCCAAACCCUAACGUGUGUCUUCACGCUCGCGGUGGCUGGGUUUGCUCGCGCGCGGGAAGGAGGCAGUAGAAGACUUCGGUUCCUUGAAACUGCCCUGAGGUCACCUACACUGUGGUCAAGAUUUCUGAAGGCUCUAAGUCAAGAGCACAGGACAUUUUCCAGACACCAGAACACAAAAGGACGUAAAGAGUCCCUCACUGCAUAGGGAAUCGUAUUGGACCGCCAUGGGUCUCCAAGGUCAUGUCCCAGGCAAGAUCCUCUUGCAAGGUUAAAACAGUGUCAUAGAAACAACAAAGUCCUUGCUACCUGUGAUGAUAUGAAAAUAAAAUGCAGGAAAAACCGGCUGGAACCUGGGAUUGGGGCAUCUGCAGGGGAAGGAAGGAGGAGGAAAGAAAGGUUUCUAGAACGUGUGGUUCAGUAGCGGCAAGGGACUCCAGCUCUCCAGGCAUCAGAGGCCCUGCUGAUUGGAGUGGACGGGUUUCCAAGUGGACUGACUUGCUCUAGAAUGCUGCCUACCAAAUUUCCAUGUGAAUAUGAGAUCUUGUUAAAAUGCACAUUCUGAUUCUCUACGUCUGGCGUGAGGCUCAAGAUGCUGUUUCUCCCAAGCUCCCAGGUGAUGCCCCUGGUCCUAGUGGUUCAUGGGCCACACUUUGACUAGCAAGGCCCGAGUCUCUCUACCUUUUCAUUUAAUGCUAUUCCCAGGUAAUACAGACGAAAGAACUGAGAAGACUAUGGCAUUGAGGGAAAGUUUUGUUUUUGAGGUAUUGAGGAGGAAGGACAGGCUGAGGCUUCUGAAAUCUUGUUUUCUGAGUCUGUUUCCUCUGUUACAUGGGAAACAAAGAGGUUGUACUUGACGCCUGCAGUCCAAUACUAAAACCCUUUUGUUUCCAAGUCUUAAAGCUAUAUAAUAAUAGUAAUAUCACUUUAUAUUUAACACUGUGACACUUCAACUUUAUGAGCUUGAUUUAAAAGUGUAUUUAAGUAGCACAUGGGUUCCUUGAAAUUUCAAGGUCACAGUUUUCUUGAAUGGCCAUCUGACCUGCUCUUUGCAUUUAAUACUUCAAGUAUUAAAUCAUCAGGGUCAAAGAACUGGAUUAUACUCAGCUACGUGGCCUCCUAAGAUUUUGUUUAGAAGGGUUUCCUUGACAUUCCUCUGGCUGAAUGGCAGCUGUUAUGCUAUAUAAAUAGAACCUAAUUUGUUUCACAUAUAAACAUCUAGGGCAUUAAUUUGUCCUCAGAGAUCUGGAUGACAUCUACAACCUGAUGAUUUAGAUAGGUUAUCAAGAAACUGUAAUCCCCCAGAGCCACAAGGAUGGGGUAGGUGUAUUUUUGACUUUGCAAGGCCACAUCUGAACCUUUCUUCUCCUUUCCUACAGACACUCAGCUCCUCUGAGGCUCGUGGCACCUCGUAAAACCUCCCUCUAAGCACUGUUGUCCUCUACAGACUUCUAGCUUACUCUAUCACUAGUGACUUUGACAAACAUAGUCUUACACACAGUCUUCCUCUCUGGGCCAACCAACAGUUGUCAUCCUUCUCCAGGAUGUCUUCAUUCAAAUGGAUAAGGCGUUCAACCUCAUGGCCUCUUGUUUCCAUCAGUCAUUCAUCAAAAACAAUGAAUCUCUGCUCCACCCCACUCAGUCAUUCACUUUCUGACAUCUCCAAACACCAUCUCGGAGCCUUCCAAUAAUCUUAGUCAAAGAGUUGCAGUGAUAAUUCAAGUCAGCGAAGAAAGCUGAUGCACUGAUCCACUCUUUUCUCACUCUCCAUCAGCCUCCUCCUGGUUUCUCUUUACCCACCCUAGAUUCCACAGCAUAUAGUUAUGGUCACUUGCUUAAAAAGAUCAACUCUUGUUAAGGACUAAAUGCUUGUGUUCCCACCCCCACCCCCCACCGCCUGCCACCUUGAAUUCUUAUACUGAAAUCCUAACUCCCAAUGGAAAGUAUUAGAAAGUGUGGACUUUGGAAGGCGAUUAGGUCAUGAGGGUAGAACUCUCUUGAAUGGAAUUAGUGCCCUUAUAAAAUAGACCUUAGAGAGCUCUUUCUCUCUUUCUCCCAAGUGAGGACAGCAAGAUGAUAGUCUAUGAACCAGGAUAUGGGUCCCCACCAGACACUGAAUCAGCCCUGUAAAUAAGAAUGCAAUAAAUAUUCUUUGUUGUUGAAUGUAUCAAAAAAAUGUGAGGACCAAAAGACAUGUAAUAGGUCUACAGGUAAGAUCCCUCUCUUUGCUGAUCAAGACAUGGCAGGCCAAAGUAAGUGAUAUGUCAAUGUCAUGGUUACUGGCUGAGCACUGAAUAAAUGCCUCUCCUGAUGUCCUGAUUGUGUCCUUUUUGGAAACUGCAGUCCUACUCUUUCCAACUUCUGAGGUACCCUCUUUCUCACCUUUCUUACUCAUUUAUGAUCCUUUCUUUAAAAUUGUAUUUGCCUUCAUCUGUGCUACAUUUUCAGUAUUAAAAUAUAAUUACGCUCAUUCACUACAAGUAUA